GGUAUUUUCCACGAAGUCUUAGGAAGUUGAAAAAUAAAAUAUUUAACUUAAGGCACGCGGUGAAUACC
rnacentral:pre_miRNA from 1 species